GUCAGCAGCUAUAUCACCCUGCAACUCACAACUGCCAACCCACUGAUGCUAAGCAGGUGUGAAUCUAGCCAGUACCUAGAUGGGACACCUCCUGGGAAAGCUAAGAUUACUGCUGGAA
rnacentral:rRNA from 1 species